rnacentral:lncRNA from 1 species
UGGUUCGCAAGAGGGAAGUCCAGCCUUCGUUAUGAAAUGGGAUAAUUAUGCUGGUAUUUGGUAGCUUUUCCAAGUACACCUUGUGCUUACAGUUAGGAUGUCGGAUGUCUGGCAGAGACCGCUCCAGUGCUAUAUUGUUGCUAACAAAUAUGUUGAAGCCAUUUUCUCUAUAAGCUGAAUCAUCAUGGUCUUCCUCUGUCAGAGGGUAGGGCUUUCCAUGUUCACCUUUCCCUGAACGCAUAGCAUCUUUUUGAAUACUUUCAUAAUUGUGCCAAUCCUUCCUUUUCAGUCCAUCAGUCCAGGUGAACAACUG